UACGUAGGUGGCGAGCGUUAUCCGGAAUGAUUGGGCGUAAAGGGUGCGUAGGCGGCCUGCUAAGUCUGGAGUGAAAGGUACCGGCUCAACCGGUACAGGCUCUGGAAACUGGCGGGCUAGAGAGCAGGAGAGGGCGGUGGAACUCCAUGUGUAGCGGUGAAAUGCGUAGAGAUUAGGAAGAACACCAGUGGCGAAGGCGACUUACUGGACUGUAACUGACGCUGAGGCAUGAGAGCAUGGGGAGCAAACAGG
rnacentral:rRNA from 1 species